AUUCUACCCAUGCGGGGAAGGAUGAGAAGCUUCGACUAAGGUUCGAUUCGAGCGUCAGCGAGAAAGCGUUGCCGCAGGCAACGACCCGAAGGGCGAAGCGCGCAGCGCUGAGUCAUCCUUCCCCCACCACCA
rnacentral:sRNA from 1 species